GCUUGUUCUGUUGAUUUUGUUUACCCCUGCAGAUGACACAGAGAGGGGCUUACAUAGUAUCCAGUAUCCAUAGGUGGCACAAGGGACAGUCAGGAGCAGUUCCCUUCAAGCUGUGGCUGUGGUCUUAUUACACCACCUUUGUGGAAAGGAGGUGGAAGGAAUUUGUAUCUCUCUGAUGACCAUGAAUAAUAUACCUCUCCGAGUAAAGUAGAAUAUUAUACAUGAUUUUACAAGAACUCUGAGGCUAAAAAAUUGAUAAGUUGCUGCGAAAGAUCUGCAAUACUAAAUGGUGAGGUCAAUUUUGGUGUUCUGCCCUAUUGGUAUAUGUUAUGAAUGUGUGUUUAUGCAAAUACCUUCAUUUCAACACACUGAAUGUUGAACCAAGAAGACACAAACUAAUGUUUCCAUCUGUU